rnacentral:rRNA from 1 species
UCUUGCACAAUGGGCGAAAGCCUGAUGCAGCGACGCCGCGUGGAGGAUGAAGGCCUUCGGGUCGUAAACUCCUGUCUGGGGGGAUGAACACUGACAGUACCCCCGGAGGAAGCCCCGGCUAACUACGUGCCAGCAGCCGCGGUAAUACGUAGGGGGCGAGCGUUGUCCGGAAUUACUGGGCGUAAAGCGCGCGCAGGCGGCCUAUUAAGUCAGGUGUUAAAAUGCGGAGCUUAACUCCGUAUCGCACUUGAAACUGGUAGGCUUGAGUGCAGGAGAGGGAAGUGGAAUUCCCAGUGUAGCGGUGAAAUGCGUAGAUAUUGGGAGGAACACCAGUGGCGAAGGCGACUUCCUGGACUGUAACUGACGCACAGGCGCGAAAGCUAGGGGAGCAAACAGG